rnacentral:lncRNA from 1 species
CCAAACUUGUAGGGGCCACUUUUCUAUGAAAAAAAUUGCUGCAAAAUUUUGCAGUGUGGUUUUUAUUGGCCCACCUUGUUUAAAGAUAUUGAUGUCUAUUGUAGAUCUUGUGAGAGGUGUCAAAAAUAAGUGCUCUUUCCUGUCGUAAUAUGAUGCCUUUAAAUCUCAUUUUGGUAGUUGAAGUGUUUGAUUGUUGGGACAUUGACUUUAUGGGACUAUUUUCACCCUCUUUUGGCUAUUUAUACAUCAUUGUGGCUGUGGACUACAUGUCUAAGUGGGUAGAGGUGGUUGCUUGUAAAGCCAAUGGCAAUAAAACUCCUUAAAGAAAAUAUUUUGUCUCGAUUUGGUACACCACGUGUUAUCAUUAGUGAUAGAGGCACACACUUUUGCAACCUUUCAUUUGAGGCACUAAUGAAAAAGUAUGUGGUGAUUCAUAAAAUUUCCACUUCUUUUCACCCACAGACUAGUGGACAAGUAGAAUUGGCUAAUCAGGAAAUUAAACAAAUUUUGGAAAAGACGGUGAACCCUAAUCAUAAGGAUUGGUCGUUGAGACUGAAUGAUGCACUUUGGGCUUACCGUACAGCUUUUAAGACUUUCCUAGACAUGUCACCUUAUAGACUAAUCUUUGGAAAGCCUUGCCAUUUACCUGUCGAACUUGAGCAUCGAGCCUUUUGGGCCAUUAAACACUUCAACUUUGAUCUAGAAGAGGGAGGUAAACAUAGAAAAUUUCAAUUGAGUGAGUUAGAGGAGUUAAGAAAUGAUGCCUAUGAAAGUUAUAGAAUCUACAAGUCAAAAAUGAAAGAAUUUCACGAUAAAAAUAUUUUGAGAAAAACUUUUGAACCAAACCAGAAAGUGUAUUUGUAUGAUUCUAGACUUCACAAACUCUCGGAAAAACUCCGCUCUAGGUGGACUGACCCCUUUGUGGUAACACGGGCUUUUGAAAAUGGGACGGUUGAAAUUGAGGACCCUAAUGAUGAUAGGGUAUUCAAAGUGAAUGGACAGAGACUCAAAAUACUCUAUGGGCAACAAGUGUCUACAUUGGAAGAAAUUUCUCUUGCAAACCUGAUUUACCACCCAUGACACCCUUCAGGUACGUUACUCACUUUGUGUUUUUGUAUAUUAGUUUCAAAUUUUUUUAGUGUGUUUUGCAAUUUUUUUCAGUUUAUUUUCAUUUUCUGCAUCACCCUCUCCAUUGGAGACUUUCAGACUUCCUAACUUCAGCUCAUGUGAUUCACUUCGAUAUUUAGGUGACAUCUUUUCAUACCUUUAUUUGGC